rnacentral:rRNA from 1 species
AUUAGGGUUCGAUUCCGGAGAGGGAGCCUGAGAAACGGCUACCACAUCUAAGGAAGGCAGCAGGCGCGCAAAUUACCCAAUCCUAAUACAGGGAGGUAGUGACAAGAAAUAACAAUACAGGACUUAAUUGUUUUGUAAUUGGAAUGAGUUAAGUAUAAACCCCUUUACAAGUAUCAAUUGGAGGGCAAGUCUGGUGCCAGCAGCCGCGGUAAUUCCAGCUCCAAUAGCGUAUAUUAAAGUUGUUGCAGUUAAAAAGCUCGUAGUUGGAUUUCUGUUAAUAUUUUAUAUUAUUAAUUUAUUAUUAUUAAUAUAAUAUUAACAUAAUUCAUAUUACUUUUUUUGAGUAUAUGAAAUUUUACUUUGAGAAAAUUAGAGUGCUUAAAGCAGGCAAUUGCCUUGAAUACUCCAGCAUGGAAUAAUAUUAAAGAUUUUUAUCUUUCUUAUUGGUUCUAAGAUAGAAAUAAUGAUUAAUA